GCGCCCGUAGCUCAGUUGGAUAGAGCGGUCGCCUCCUAAGCGACAGGCCAGGGGUUCGAUUCCCUUCGGGCGCACCA
rnacentral:tRNA from 1 species